CAGAAGAAAAGACGCUGUUUCAGAGCUUUUAAAGUGUGCCUGGGAGUGCUGUAUCUUCUGAUUCUCGCUGGAAUUUCGACACGCUAUAUUUCAGUCACUUUGGAAAAAGAGCAGCUGAAGAACAAAUACAACAAACUGAGCAACAAUUGCAGCCAACUGCAAGCCCAACUUUUAGUGAAAUGUCCUGUCGAUUGGGCCAAAUUUGGAAUGAGCUGUUACUUUAAAUCCACCGAGAGGAAAAUUUGGUCUAAGAGCAAGGAAGACUGUG